rnacentral:rRNA from 1 species
UACGUAGGGGGCAAGCGUUGUCCGGAUUUAUUGGGCGUAAAGAGCUCGUAGGCGGUUUGGUAAGUCAGGUGUGAAAUCUCCACGCUCAACGUGGAGGGGCCACCUGAUACUGCCAUGACUGGAGUCCGGUAGAGGAGUGUGGAAUUCCCGGUGUAGCGGUGAAAUGCGCAGAUAUCGGGAGGAACACCCGGUAGCGAAGG